rnacentral:lncRNA from 1 species
CUGCCCCGGGGCCCCGGCUCUGCAAGCAAACAGGCCGAGCGCGGCGCUGCAUCCGAAAUGCGGCAUUUGAGCAGCGCGGCGAAGGCGAGCGGGGGAGCGGCCCACCCGGGCUGUCUGGGAAGUGAGAAUCCUCCCUAAUGGAUGUUUCACCCAAUUAAAUAAUUAACUCCAAGUGUUGCUAAGCAUCCUCGCCUCUCGCCUUCCAGUCCUGGAGGCGUCCUCAUGCCAGGCCGCGGCUGCUGCUGAGACAAGGAGCCUAGCGGGAGGAGCCAGGAGUGGGGGACAGUGCCCCUGAUGCUUCUGUACAGGAUGAGGGAGAUAAAUGCACCUGAGAGGGAAGGUAAGGAGGGCUGUUCAGAUAGGAGGCUGAGGGGAGGCUGAGACUCACAGGAAGUGGCAUUAGAACCUUCUGGAGCCUUUCUAUUGAAUAUUAAGUCCUUGAAGGUUUCCCUCUCCCCCAAUUCUUCCCAUACGCCACAGCAGGGUCCUUGUUCCUUCAAAGAAGGGGAAAGGAAGGGACACAGGCUUCUUCCUAAUGGGUAGUCUUGCGUUAUGAGGACUUACAGAGCUGAGCUGCUCUACUAACCAGACAGUCACAUAAGGAACCCCGAGGGGAGAGGCUAAAUACAUUCAUACUGUGGAAUAUCACUCAGCCGUUAAAAAGAACAAGAUACAUUUUCCUGUAUAGAUAGGAAAAGAUCUGUAAGAUACUAUAAAGUGAAAAAAUGCAGAUACCAGUAAAUGCAGUUUAAUUUAAGUAAAAAUAAUGUGCACAUGUAUGCAUAUACUUGUCUACCUGUGGAAGGAGGACUGGAACUAGGGACACCAAACUAUUCCAAGGGGUGACCUCUGUGCCUUAAAAUGGAGUGGGGAAAAGGCUAGUGCUCUCAUUUUAUUCUCUGCACCCCUGAAAUGCCUGAUUCUUGCAAGAAUGUGUUAUUAUAUCACUGCUACAAUUAAAACAGCAAUAGAGGCCGGGCGUGGUGGCUCAUUGCUUGUAAUCCCAGCACUUUGGGAGGCCGAGGCAGGUGGAUCACCUGAGGUCAAGAGUUCAAGACCAGCCUAGCCAACAUGGUGAAACCCCGUCCCUACAAAAAUACAAAAAUUAGCCAGGCAUGAUGGCAGGUGCCUGUAAUCCCAGCUACUUGGGAGGCUGAGGCAGAAGAAUCACUUGAACCUGGG